rnacentral:rRNA from 1 species
UGCGUAGGUGGUUAUUUAAGUCCGUUGUGAAAGCCCUGGGCUCAACCUGGGAACUGCAGUGGAUACUGGAUGGCUAGAAUGUGGUAGAGGGUAGCGGAAUUCCUGGUGUAGCAGUGAAAUGCGUAGAGAUCAGGAGGAACAUCCAUGGCGAAGGCAGCUACCUGGACCAACAUUGACACUGAGGCACGAAAGCGUGGGGAGCAAACA